CGGUAGGGGAGAUUGGAAUUCCUGGUGUAGCGGUGGAAUGCGCAGAUAUCAGGAGGAACACCGAUGGCGAAGGCAGAUCUCUGGGCCGUUACUGACGCUGAGGAGCGAAAGGGUGGGGAGCAAACAGGCUUAGAUACCCUGGUAGUCCACCCCGUAAACGUUGGGAACUAGUUGUGGGGUCCUUUCCACGGAUUCCGUGACGUAGCUAACGCAUUAAGUUCCCCGCCUGGGGAGUACGGCCGCAAGGCUAAAACUCAAAGGAAUUGACGGGGACCCGCACAAGCGGCGGAGCAUGCGGAUUAAUUCGAUGCAACGCGAAGAACCUUACCAAGGCUUGACAUACACCAGAACGGGCCAGAAAUGGUCAACUCUUUGGACACUGGUGAACAGGUGGUGCAUGGUUGUCGUCAGCUCGUGUCGUGAGAUGUUGGGUUAAGUCCCGCAACGAGCGCAACCCUCGUUCUAUGUUGCCAGCACGUUAUGGUGGGAACUCAUGGGAUACUGCCGGGGUCAACUCGGAGGAAGGUGGGGAUGACGUCAAAUCAUCAUGCCCCUUAUGUCUUGGGCUUCACGCAUGCUACAAUGGCCGGUACAAUGGGCUGCGAUACCGCGAGGUGGAGCGAAUCCCAAAAAGCCGGUCCCAGUUCGGAUUGAGGUCUGCAACUCGACCUCAUGAAGUCGGAGUCGCUAGUAAUCGCAGAUCAGCAACGCUGCGGUGAAUACGUUCCCGGGUCUUGUACACACCGCCCGUCAAGUCAUGAAAGUCGGUAACACCUGAAGCCGGUGGCCUAACCCUUGUGGAGGGAGCCGUCGAAUAUAAUAUUACGUUGACCC
rnacentral:rRNA from 1 species